rnacentral:misc_RNA from 1 species
UCAAAACAGCGGACCUCGGUCCUUGCUGCACCCUUGUCUUUUGCGCACCGUAUUGUUUCCUCGGCGGGCUUGCCUGCCGGUUGGACAUUAUCAAAACCUUUUUGUAGUUGCAAUCAGCGUCAGAAAAACAAUAAUUAUUA